rnacentral:rRNA from 1 species
AUACGGAGGGUGCGAGCGUUAAUCGGAAUUACUGGGCGUAAAGCGCGCGUAGGCGGCUGAUUAAGUCGGAUGUGAAAUCCCUGGGCUCAACCUAGGAACUGCAUCCGAUACUGGUCAGCUAGAGUUUUGGAGAGGUAAGUGGAAUUUCCGGUGUAGCGGUGAAAUGCAUAGAGAUCGGAAGGAACACCAGUGGCGAAGGCGACUUACUGGCCAAAAACUGACGCUGAGGUGCGAAAGCGUGGGUAGCGAACAGGAUUAGAAACCCUAGUAGUCC